GCUUGUCUCAAAGAUUAAGCCAUGCAUGUGUAAGUAUAAAUAACUCUAUACUAUGAAACUGCGAAUGGCUCAUUAUAUCAGUUAUAGUUUAUUUGAUAAUACUUUACUACUAGGAUAACCGUAGUAAUUCUAGAGCUAAUACUUGCGUAAAAACCUGACUUCUGGAAGGGUUGUAUUUAUUAGAUUGAAACCAAUUCGGGCAACCGAUAUUGUGGUGAGUCAUAAUAACUUUCGGAUCGAUCUUCGGAUCGAUGCAUCAUUCAAGUUUCUGCCCUAUCAGCUUUGGAUGGUAGGGUAUUGGCCUACCAUGGCUUUAACGGGUAACGGAGAAUUAGGGUUCGAUUCCGGAGAGGGAGCCUGAGAAAUGGCUACCACAUCCAAGGAAGGCAGCAGG
rnacentral:rRNA from 1 species